rnacentral:rRNA from 1 species
AGCGGCGGACGGGUGAGUAACGCGUGGGUAACCUGCCUCAUACAGGGGGGUAACAGUUGGAAACGGCUGCUAAUACCGCAUAAGCGCACAGUACCGCAUGGUACGGUGUGAAAAACUCCGGUGGUAUGAGAUGGACCCGCGUCUGAUUAGGUAGUUGGUGGGGUAACGGCCUACCAAGCCGACGAUCAGUAGCCGACCUGAGAGGGUGACCGGCCACAUUGGGACUGAGACACGGCCCAA